rnacentral:RNase_P_RNA from 1 species
AAAGUCGACCGGGUGAUCGCUCGGUGACGUGAUUGCGUCACUGGGAGGAAAGUCCGGGCUCCAUAGGGCACAGUGGUCGGUAACGCCGACCGGCCGUGAGGCUAGGGAAAGUGCAACAGAAAGCAAACCGCCAUACUGUGACUACUUGUAGUCAUUGCGCGGUAAGGGUGAAACGGUGAGGUAAGAGCUCACCAGCAGGCGAGGUGACUCGCUUG